rnacentral:rRNA from 1 species
CCCUACUGCUAUCGGGGUGGGACUAAAACAUGCAAGUCGAGCGUCUCCUAGCCAUGGUGGAGGCGCGGCGUACAGCUCAGUAACACGUGGCUAACCUACCCUUGGGACGGGAACACCCCCGGGAAACCACGCACAGGCCUUGAUGACAUAAACACAAAUUCUCAAAAAAUCCAAAAACCCAUAACAUAAACAAACAUUUCACUACACCGCCUUGCCGAUUUCUAAGCUGGCAAAGGCUAUCUUAAACUAACCAAAACCCACACGCGACUUUCUAAGAAUAGAAACUUAAGGCUCUGGCGUAGCCCAAAACUGGGGUUAAUUCUCGAUGGGUGAGGAGGCCUGGAAUGGUUCUUCACUGAAAGGGCGUUAGAGGCAUGCUCUCUAACGUUGCCCAAGGAUGGGGCCGCGGCCGAUCAGGUUGUUGGUGAGGUAACGGCUUACCAAGCCUAUAACCGGUACGGGCCGUGAGAGCGGAAGCCCGGAGAUGGGCACUGAGAUAAGGGCCCAGGCCCUACGGGGCGCAGCAGUUGCGAAAACUCCGCAAUGCACGAAAGUGUGACGGGGCUACCCCGAGUGCCGUCCGCUGAGGAUGGCUUUUCUCCGCUGUAAGGAGGCGGAGGAAUAAGGAGAGGGCAAGACUGGUGUCAGCCGCCGCGGUAAUACCAGCUCUCCGAGUGGUAGGGGUGAUUAUUGGGCUUAAAGCGUCCGUAGCCGGCCUGGCAAGUCUUCCGUUAAAUCCAGCAACCUAAUUGUUGGGCUGCGGGGGAUACUGUUAGGCUAGGGGGCGGGAGAGGCCGACGGUAUUCUCGGGGUAGGGGUGAAAUCUUAUAAUCCCGGGAGGACCACCAGUGGCGAAGGCUGUCGGCUAGCACGCGCCUGACGGUGAGGGACGAAAGCUGGGGGAGCGAACCGGAUUAGAUACCCGGGUAGUCCCUGCUGUAAACGAUGCGAGCUAGGUGUUGGGGCGGCUACGAGCCGCUUCAGUGCCGCAGCGAAGGCGUUAAGCUCGCCGCCUGGGGAGUACGGCCGCAAGGCUGAAACUUAAAGGAAUUGGCGGGGGAGCACCACAAGGCGUGAAGCUUGCGGUUCAAUUGGAUUCAACGCCGG